AUGAACGCUGGCGGCGUGCCUAAUACAUGCAAGUCGAGCGAACGGACGAGAAGCUUGCUUCUCUGAUGUUAGCGGCGGACGGGUGAGUAACACGUGGAUAACCUACCUAUAAGACUGGGAUAACUUCGGGAAACCGGGGCUAAUACCGGAUAAUAUUUUGAACCGCAUGGUUCAAAAGUGAAAGACGGUCUUGCUGUCACUUAUAGAUGGAUCCGCGCUGCAUUAGCUAGUUGGUAAGGUAACGGCUUACCAAGGCAACGAUGCAUAGCCGACCUGAGAGGGUGAUCGGCCACACUGGAACUGAGACACGGUCCAGACUCCUACGGGAGGCAGCAGUAGGGAAUCUUCCGCAAUGGGCGAAAGCCUGACGGAGCAACGCCGCGUGAGUGAUGAAGGUCUUCGGAUCGUAAAACUCUGUUAUUAGGGAAGAGCAUAUGUGUAAGUAACUGUGCACAUCUUGACGGUACCUAAUCAGAAAGCCACGGCUAACUACGUG
rnacentral:rRNA from 1 species